GGACUAGCGCGACCCACCGCACGUGCUCGGUCUCGGGGAGCGGGGAGGAACCAUUGAGGAUCCGACUCCAGCGGCAACCAACCAGCUGGGAGUUGGGUGAGAAUUGACAACCUGUUCGCCCCUUGUUUCCGUGACCCCAUGGAGCAGCCCCGAACAUUCCUUGACAGCGGCGCUCGCAGGAGAUGAGGUGAAUGGGCGACCCGGAGCAGGAACAAAAUAAACCUACUCAACAACAAGAACAAGCAUGACCAAAAGUCCCUGUUAAAGAUUCAGAUUGUUCCUGAAAGAAAUGAGAGGCCAAGAGGAUUUAUUUUUAUUCAAAGUACAUCCCUAUUUGUGUAGCAAAAUACUUGCAGUUAUAUAGCACCUGGGAUUUACAGAUACAUGGAUUAUUAAAACGCCAUACAAAGGUGCAUAAAAUUAUCAAUCGAAUGCUAGACUUUGCAUCGAAAUGAUUAGACUAUAAGGGGGUGGAAUGUCAAGCUUCAGCAAAACAUAUUUCUGUUUAGACCCUAUCUGGAGUACGGUAUUGAGAGCAUUCUGUCACUAAGCAUUGCAAAGGCAAUAUUAAGCUUCGAGGGAGUGUAAUGUUAAUUUACCAGAAUGAUACUUGAACUGUAAAGAUUAAAUUUAAAGUAUGAGGCAAGGCACUGCAACUCACACCCCUGGUGUGUUUGUUUAAUGCCUGGUCUGGAGGUGGCCUUACCUGGGCUUUUGCUCCUAUACAGUGCUGUUCCAGUGAUUGCAGCAUAGCCAAUGAAAGGCAGCUGAUUUUCUGCGGGAAGACCACAGAUGGCCUUGAGGAUGAGCUGAAUCAGUCUGGGCCUUGAGGGCCUGACUGGUCUCAGCAUUGGCAGCAACAGUUUGGGCUGGCUGAUUGAAAGGGGUUCGAAUUAGAAGAUUUAUAAGUAUUGUGUGUAUUUUUAAAUUUACGAUGAAUCAAAUUUACAGUCAUGUGACUUAUUCUGAAGCCUAUGUGACAGUUAGCCUGGGUGAUUUAAUUUUUAGAGAUCAAAAGAAAGCUUGGAUUGUUUUACUUCGAACAACUUCCAAGGUAUUUAUGCUUGGAAGCAAUGGCAGCAACCUCUAAAUUUACAAGUAGACUCUCAAGACUGGAUUUUGUCAACAGCAGAUCAUCUUUCAUAUCAUAACCUGAACUAUGCGCCACUUCUAUUUUCUUUCCUUUUAUCUUUUUGAUUAUAAUUAAAAUUUUAAGUUUCAGCACUGCACAUGCAAAACAUAUUUGAUUUAGCAGUUGGGAAAACAUUUCACUCAUGAAGGUGUCAUUAGCUGAUAAUGCUGCAGCUAGGUCUGGCCUAUUGUAGUGUGUUCUGGUCAAACAAGGAGGCCCUGCAUCAUGGACAGCCACAACUUUUCUGCCUAAGUUCAUUGCCAUUGACAUAAGAUUUUUGAGCACAGAGGUGCCAUGGGAGUUUCUCAAAAUUAAAUUUCACUAUUUCA